rnacentral:rRNA from 1 species
UAGUCCACGCCGUAAACGAUGUCUGCUAGCCGUCGGGGCACUUAGUGUUUCGGUGGCGCCGCUAACGCAUUAAGCAGACCGCCUGGGGAGUACGGUCGCAAGAUUAAAACUCAAAGGAAUUGACGGGGACCCGCACAAGCGGUGGAGUAUGUGGCUUAAUUCGAUGCAACGCGAAGAACCUUACCUAGGCUUGACAUGCUCGUCAUACCCUCCCGAGAAGGAGGGGUCGGUUCGGCCGGACGAUGCACAGGUGCUGCAUGGCCGUCGUCAGCUCGUGUCGUGAGAUGUUUGGUUAAGUCCAGCAACGAGCGCAACCCCUGUGAACUGUUGCCAGCGCGUAAAGGCGGGGACUCUGUUCAGACUGCCCAGAUCAACUGGGAGGAAGGUGGGGACGACGUCAGGUCAGUAUGGCCCUUACGCCUAGGGCUGCACACGUACUACAAUGCCCAGCACAAUGAGAACCGAUACCGCGAGGUGGAGGAAAUCUAAAAACUGGGCCCAGUUCGGAUUGG